UGGGGAAUUUUGGACAAUGGGGGCAACCCUGAUCCAGCCAUGCCGCGUGUGUGAAGAAGGCCUUCGGGUUGUAAAGCACUUUCGGACGGAACGAAAUCGCGCGGGUGAACAAUCCGCGUGGAUGACGGUACCGUAGGAAGAAGCACCGGCUAACUACGUGCCAGCAGCCGCGGUAAUACGUAGGGUGCGAGCGUUAAUCGGAAUUACUGGGCGUAAAGCGUGCGCAGGCGGCGCCGCAAGUCAGGCGUGAAAUCCCCGAGCUUAACUUGGGAAUGGCGCUUGAAACUACGGUGCUGGAGUGUGGCAGAGGGAGGUGGAAUUCCACGUGUAGCGGUGAAAUGCGUAGAGAUGUGGAGGAACACCGAUGGCGAAGGCAGCCUCCUGGGCCAACACUGACGCUCAUGCACGAAAGCGUGGGGAGCAAACAGG
rnacentral:rRNA from 1 species